GCAGAAGGCUGGUGCAUGCCAGGCCUGAAUGAAUUACCCUUUACCACUUGGGUUCAGUUCACUAGCUUCAUAAACUGUGUGGGUCAGUUCCCAGAGACUUUCUGAGAGGUAUGAGAGAGAGGUACCUGAAAAUAGCUAAGAUGAUCCACCUGCCUAACUCAUCAGCCUGUAGAAGCAUUUUACCAGGAAAGCAGGUGCUCUAGGUGCGUAACCAUGCCAUAAAACAGAGAUUAGCGAAAUCAGUCUCUACAGGACUAAAUUCUCCCAGUAUUGGAGGAAGUUCUCAAUAAGGACUUAACGACUGAAGAAGAAAAGUGAACUCAGAGGGGAAGAAUAGGUGGACACAAGCAAAGUAAGGAAACAUUAGAAAGUACUAUGGUAAAGCGAUAGUGAGCCGGGAGCUUAAAGACAUCCGUAGAGGAGGGGUG